AUCACUGGGAGAUCUUGUUAAAAUGCAGAUUCUGAUUCAGCAUUUCUGAGGUUGGGCCUGAGAUUCUAGAUUUCUAACAAGCUGCCAGGUGAUGCUGA
rnacentral:pre_miRNA from 1 species